UUCCUUUCCCUUAUGCAUAUAGAAAAUAUCUUGCUGGAAUUGUGAUAGGAACAAAUAUUAAAGAUGUCAAGCUUACACGUGAUUCUAGAAGAAAGAAUCUAUUAAUGAAGAAUACAUGGGUGGUCAAGGUCCUUAAUAAAUGAAUGUAUAGUGAAUGCAGAAAUAAUAUCUCAAAAAUGCUUGCUCAUAAUUUUGAAUAUAAAACUUUACUUUUAUCUAAAUAACACAGAUGAUCAAAAUGGAUCUAUCUUCCAGAAAUCAGAAUGAGUAUGUAUUAAACUGAUGGAAAAUGCUCACAUUCAUUUGUGUCUUAGUCUCUACAUAUCAGUAUCUCUCCCUGUGAUUAUGCCAAUAUUUUUUUUUAUCAUAUAAACCAAUAUGAGAAGAAACAGUAGACAGCCAAAUAAUAGUCAAGGGGCAGCUUGAGACUAGGAUUUAUUUGCUAAACAUGGAAAGCCUACUUGAAACAAAAAUAGGAUAUGCUGAAUAGACAGUCUUAGACCAAUCAAAUUCAAGUAUCCGGAAAAAUUAUAAAGUAUUUCAAGGAGAAAUACUGCUUACAUUAUUAUGCAGUGAUAAGACUUCUCACUGUAAAGUUUUGUUUAUUCAAAGAUUCUUACUUAGCACAGUUGUGGAGUUAAUAUAUUUACCUAGCAUCAUCUCAAGAAAAGGGUGUCAUGGAAAAUAUAUUUUAAGAGCUAUGUACCCAUAGAUCAGAAACAUAAAAAUCUACCAUCUCAGUAUAAUAUCAACAAACUUUCAUUUAGUGACAAACAUCAUUAGAA
rnacentral:lncRNA from 10 species